rnacentral:rRNA from 14 species
GUAACGACUUCCCCGCUGUCUCCAGCAUAGACUCAGCGAAAUUGAAUUCUCCGUGAAGAUGCGGAGUACCCGCGGUUAGACGGAAAGACCCCGUGCACCUUUACUGCAGCUUCAGAGUGGUAUUAGGAAAGAGUUGUGUAGCAUAGGUGGGAGGCUUUGAAGUGUCGGCGCCAGCUGACAUGGAGCCAUAGGUGAAAUACCACCCUGCUGUUUUCUGAUAUCUAACCUCGCACCGUUAUCCGGUGUAGGGACCCUCUGUGGCGGGUAGUUUGACUGGGGCGGUCGCCUCCUAAAGAGUAACGGAGGCGCGCGAUGGUAGGCUCAGGACGGUUGGAAACCGUCUGCGAGAGUGCAAUGGCAUAAGCCUGCCUGACUGCGAGACUGACGAGUCGAGCAGAGACGAAAGUCGGUCAUAGUGAUCCGGUGGUCCCUCGUGGAAGGGCCAUCGCUCAACGGAUAAAAGGUACUCUGGGGAUAACAGGCUGAUGGUGCCCAAGAGUCCAUAUCGACGGCACCGUUUGGCACCUCGAUGUCGGCUCAUCUCAUCCUGGGGCUGUAGCCGGUCCCAAGGGUAUGGCUGUUCGCCAUUUAAAGUGGUACGUGAGCUGGGUUUAAAACGUCGU